rnacentral:lncRNA from 1 species
CGCUCCAUUGCCAGGGUGAAGGAACGACUGGAGCCCAGGUUCCAGGGGCCUGUGGCUGAGCACUCAGAGCAUCGGCAGAACCUGUAUGAUGAGACCCCAGCCAGCUCACUCAAACUGUUCUUUAGGACUGACCCAGGAUGCACCACUGAGAAGAGAGACAAGGCUUCUGAGCCCAGUGGAAGCAGCUGGGCCCUGAGCGGCCUCCCCGAAGGGCCUUCACUAAACAACCAAGACCACCUCAGACCCAAGUUGGAAGCUGGAGAUGAGGGGUGGAGAGCUGGCUCAGGGUCUAAAGGGGCUUGCUACCAAGCCUGACAACCUGAACCAACAUAGAAGGAAAGAACUAACUCCCACGCACAUACGGGAUAAAGGAAGCACGUAAAAUCUCCCGGUGAAGGUGACUUCCCACAUGGAGAGAGCAGAUUAGUAACCGGGUCCCAGUGAGCUGGGACCAGGCAGUCAGCUUUCUCAAGACUGGUACACUGGCUGUGGGCACGGUUCAGAGGUUAGAAGCAAUGCUGCUCUUUCAGAGGACCUGGGGUUUGAACCCCAACACCCACAGGGUGCUCACAACCAUCUGUUAAGUACAGUCUAGGGCGUCUGACACCCUCUUCUGGCCUCCAUGGGUACCACGUAUGUAGCACACAGAUGUACAUGCAAGUGAAAUAUAUACAAAAAUAAAUCUUAAAAAGUUUUAA